rnacentral:lncRNA from 1 species
CUCUCUCUGCUAGUUCCUCAAACUUUUGUUUCUGAGCUUUCCCUCUGAAUUUGAUACCCAUACGAUCAAUUUGUCCCAUCAGGUUAGUGUUAGCUAGAGAAAAGAAAAACAAGAGUUUUAGUCAGGAUUUGGCCAAAUGCCGAAAGAAGAAAAGAAUAAAAAAUUUAUGAGUUAAAAUAAAUUAAGAAUGAAUACUAAAUAAAAUUUAGAAGAAUAAUUAAAGAAGAAAUAAAAAUAAAGAUAAAGAAAAUUU